rnacentral:rRNA from 1 species
AGAGGGGAGAGGGUUUCCUACGGGGGGGCAGCAGUGCCGAAUAUUGCACAAUGGGCGCAAGCCUGAUGCAGCCAUGCCGCGUGUAUGAAGAAGGCCUUCGGGUUGUAAAGUACUUUCAGCGGGGAGGAAGGGAGUAAAGUUAAUACCUUUGCUCAUUGACGUUACCCGCAGAAGAAGCACCGGCUAACUCCGUGCCAGCAGCCGCGGUAAUACGGAGGGUGCAAGCGUUAAUCGGAAUUACUGGGCGUAAAGCGCACGCAGGCGGUUUGUUAAGUCAGAUGUGAAAUCCCCGGGCUCAACCUGGGAACUGCAUCUGAUACUGGCAAGCUUGAGUCUCGUAGAGGGGGGUAGAAUUCCAGGUGUAGCGGUGAAAUGCGUAGAGAUCUGGAGGAAUACCGGUGGCGAAGGGGGCCCCCUGGACGAAGACUGACGCUCAGGUGCGAAAGCGAUGGGGAGCAAACAGGAUUAGAUACCCCGUGUAGUCAAAAGCCCGCGACCUGCCGUU